rnacentral:rRNA from 1 species
CGUAUAUGACACGGACUACCAGUGCAUUGUGAUGCGCUCUCAAAGAGUCGAGUUGUUUGGGAAUGCAGCUCAAAAUGGGUGGUAAAUUCCAUCUAAAGCUAAAUAUAGGCGAGAGACCGAUAGCGAACAAGUACCGUGAGGGAAAGAUGAAAAGAACUUUGGAAAGAGAGUUAAACAGUACGUGAAAUUGUUGAAAGGGAAACGCUUGAAGUCAGUCGCAUUGUUUGGGGAUCAACCUUGCUCUUUUGCAUGGGGUACUUCCCGUUCGAUGGGUCAGCAUCAGUUUUGACCGCUGGAAAAAGUUCAUGGGAAUGUGGCAUCUUCGGAUGUGUUAUAGCCUGUGUUCGUAUACGGCGGUUGGGACUGAGGAAUUCAGCACGCCGCAAGGCCGGGUGUUCGCACCACGUACGUGCUUAGAAUGCUGGCAUAAUGGCUUUAAUCGACCCGUCUUGAAACACGGACCAAGGAGUCUAACAUGCCUGCGAGUGUUUGGGUGGAAAACCCGAGCGCGUAAUGAAAGUGAAAAGUUGAGAUCCCUGUCGCGGGGAGCAUCGACGCCCGGAUCAGAUGUUUACUGACGUUCCGCGGUGGAGCAUGUAUGUUGAACCCGAAAGAUGGUGAACUAUGCCUGAAUAGGGU